rnacentral:rRNA from 1 species
UGGGGAAUUUUGGACAAUGAGCGCAAGCCUGAUCCAGCAAUGCCGCGUGCAGGAUGAAGGCCUUCGGGUUGUAAACUGCUUUUGUCAGGGAAGAAAUCCUUUGAGCUAAUACCUCGGGGGGAUGACGGUACCUGAAGAAUAAGCACCGGCUAACUUCGUGCCAGCAGCCGCGGUAAUACGAAGGGUGCAAGCGUUACUCGGAAUUACUGGGCGUAAAGCGUGCGCAGGCGGUUUUGUAAGACAGAGGUGAAAUCCCCGGGCUCAACCUGGGAAUUGCCUUUGUGACUGCAUCGCUGGAGUGCGGCAGAGGGGGAUGGAAUUCCGCGUGUAGCAGUGAAAUGCGUAGAUAUGCGGAGGAACACCGAUGGCGAAGGCAAUCCCCUGGGCCUGCACUGACGCUGAUGGACGAAAGCGUGGGGAGCGAACA